CUAACUCAGAGGUGCUUGCUGUGAAUGAGAGUCAAGGAAGACCUAGAAAAAAUAUUAGAGACAAGUCCAAGGGCAGAUCUAAGUCUCGGGACAAGCAGAAAGUAUGGAAGUGCUACAAGUAUCAUCAAGCUGGUCACCUAAAGAGGAAUUGUCCACUUCUGAAAAUAAGAAAGAGAAGGGCUUUUUCAAGGGUGGUUCGACCAGCAUGGGUGGUGCAAAUUCAUCUGAAGAUAGUAGGGAUGAUUUAGUGAUAGUUUCAGAUAGGACCAUGGAAUAUGACAGUCAUUGGACAUUGGAUUUAGCUUAUUCUCACAACUAUACCUCAC
rnacentral:lncRNA from 1 species